rnacentral:rRNA from 1 species
UACGUAGGGGCCUAGCGUUGUCCGGAUUUAUUGGGCGUAAAGAGCUCGUAGGCGGUUCGGUAAGUCAGGUGUGAAAUCUCCACGCUCAACGUGGAGGCGCCUCCUGAAACUGCCGUGACUCGAGUCCGGUAGGGGAGUGUGGAAUUCCUGGUGUAGCGGUGAAAUGCGCAGAUAUCAGGAGGAACACCAGUGGCGAAGGCGGCACUCUGGGCCGGUACUGACGCUGAGGAGCGAAAGCGUGGGGAGCGAACAGG